rnacentral:misc_RNA from 1 species
GAUGAAGAACGUAGUGAAAUGCGAUAAGUAAUGCGAAUUGCAGAAUUCCAGUGAGUCAUCGAAUCUUUGAACGCACAUUGCGCCCUUUGGUAUUCCGAAGGGCAUGCCUGUUCGAGCGUCAUUAUCACCCCUCAAGCCCCCGGCUUGGUGUUGGACGGCUUGGUGGAGACCCUUUUGUGGCCCACCCCUCCCAAAGACAAUGACGGCGGCCUCGUUGGACCCCCGGUACACUGAGUUCUUCACGGGACACGUAUCGGACACACGGGUUUACGGGUCACGGUCUGCCUCCCCUCAGGGAGAACUUUUCUAAGGUUGACCUCGGAUCAGGUAGGGAUACCCGCUGAACUUAAGCAUAUCAAUAAGCGGAGGA